GCCCGAAUGAGCAGUAGCAACUCGCUGUGGUCCGCUUCUGUAGUGUGAGGAGGUGUGUUCUUUCCGUCUUUGCAAUAAGUGUUGCUGUUGCUCACUCUGGGUCCAGCUGCGUUUAUGAGCUGUAACACUCACCGCUAAGGUCCGCAGAUUCACUCUUGAAGCCAGUGAGACCACAAACCCACCAGGAGGAACGAACAACUCCAGCUGCGCCACCUUAAGAGCUGUAACACUCACUGAAGGUUUGCAGCUUCACUCCUGAGCCAGCGUAGACCAUGAACACACCGGAAGGAAGAAACUCGGAACACAUCCGAACAUCAGAAGGAACAAACUCCGGACACGCCGCCUUUAAGAACUGUAACACCGCCAGGGUCCACGGCUUCAUGCUUGAAGUUGGUAAGACCAAGAACCCACCAAUUCCGGACACGUUUUGGCGACCACGAAGGGACUUUUGCCUGUCGCUGAGCGGUGAGACCAUCGCCUAUCGCCAAGCACUGCAGGUCACAUAUUGGAAGAAGAUCCUUGGAACAGAG
rnacentral:lncRNA from 1 species